UAAUUCUUACGCGGGAUUUACCUAAUCCAAAACUACUUUUUACAUCGGUAAUUUGCAAAAAAUAAAGUGGGAAAAAUGAAAGUAAAUAAUAAUAAUAAUAACCACCUUGCUGCUAUUACAGCGAAAAAUCCUUGAAUUUCAACCAAGGAAAACCACUUUUAGCAGCUUCUUCUGCUUCUUUUGAGCAAGAUGACGACGACGACGCCGUUUUCGUUACACCGCCGCCGCUGGAAGAACUUCCGCUUUCAUUUCCACUGUCUACCACCGACUUUUUUGAGCAGAGGAAGAAGUUCCUCGAUCCCGACUCCAUUAGCUUCUCUUCCCUGUCCAAACUUUCUAAGCUGAAUUGCGA
rnacentral:misc_RNA from 1 species